GCUCAUAAGGUCAGCAGCAUACACGAGCACCUCAUACAGCAACUAAUUAUCUGCCAUCAGCAUAUCGGUGAGGCCUUGGACAAAAGACAAUUAACUAUUACAAGAUACAUAAAUUGUGUUUGGAGCUAAUAAAUAAAUUUAUCUUGGGAUGCAGAGGAGAAGAAACAGUUUGAAAGUUACAACAAUCUGGUGCGCAUUUUUGAAAUGCCCCACCUCGACAACCAGAAGGUUUUGAAGACACUGAUUUAUGCCAAGGAAGAUAUACAACCACUGCUGCAAGGCAACACCAAGGCAAGGGUUAAUUCAUAACAUGAUACUCCAUAUUUAGUUUCCUAUCCUUUUAUUCCCAACUAAAUGUGACACACUAGUGACAAUUUCUAUCAAUGUGAACAGGUUAAUAUUGAAAUACUAAGGCGAAAGACUGUGCUAUUGCUAAUAUCAGAUCUUGAUCUUUUGCAUGAGGAGAUUGUGAUUCUCCAUAAAUUUUAUAGAGAACAGAUAAAGAGUGAUGUUGAGUAUGAGGUGGUGUGGCUUUCAGUGGUGGACAGGUCAAAACCAUUGACUGAAGAGAAUCAAAACAAGUUUCAUGAACUGCAAAAGGAGAUGCCAUGGUACACACUGCUACACCCUUCAUUGCUUGAGCCAGCAGUGGUCAGAUACAUUAAAGAGGUGUGGCAUUUCACCAAGAAGGCAAUAUUGGUGGUAUUGGAUCUACAAGGAAAAGUAGUAUGCCGAAAUGCACUCCACAUGAUGUGGAUAUGGGGAAAUACUGCUUAUCCUUUCACUAAUUCGAAAGAGGAAUCACUUUGGAAGGAGGAAACUUGGAGACUGAAGCUGCUGGUAGAUGAUAUUGAUGCAACCAUAUUUGCUUGGGUAGCCCCAUUUUCACAAUUCUUUUAUAGAUACUUCAUUUUCAUUCAUUAUAUAAACACAGAAGCAUGCAUACGAUUGAAUAUAUAAUCUAAUUUUAAACAAGAACAAGCCAUUCUCACACUUGAUACACUGAUAAUAUGGAUUAUGAUUAGUAUGAAAUUCCUUUGAUUACUUUACCAGGUGAACCAGGGGAAAUACAUUUGCAUGUAUGGAGGAGUGAACUCUGACUGGAUCCUGAACUUUAACACAGCAGCACGGGAAGUUGCAAAGGCUGCAGGCAUUCAACUAGAAAUGGUUUAUGUGGGAAAGAGCAACGCCAAAGAGCAAGUGCGGAAGACCAUUACAUUUAUCGAUUCUCGAAGUCUUGGUUACUGCUGGACUGACCCCACUAACAUUUGGUUCUUCUGGACUCGAAUGGAGAGCAUGUUGUACUCGAAGACACAACAUGGCAAGACCAUUGAGAAUGAUUCUAUAUUCGCAGGGGUCCUAACGAUGCUUAGCUUUGAUGGCAGUGAUCAAGGAUGGUCUGUGAUCUGCCACGGACCUACGGAGAUGGCCAAAGCCAAGGGAGACAUGAUUUUAAAAUGCUUUACAGAGUACAGCGAUUGGAGCGACAACGUUCAGCAAAAUGGUUUCAUGCCCGCACUGAAUGAGCACCUCCAAAAACUUCACACUCCAGAACAUUGCAACCGCCUCAUCCUUCCUGGGAUCAAUGGAGACAUCCCAGAAAAGGUGGUCUGUGCAGAGUGCGGCCGCCCAAUGGAGAAGUACUUUAUGUACCGCUGCUGUACUGAUUAAGCUACAGAUCCUAGCAUGAUGUAUAACAUGCUUAUGGUGAAGCCUAAUCGUGUUUAAGUUUGAUCGAGAGGAUUCAUAUUUUGCACUCGUUUUCAUAUUACUAGUAGCCUACAACUAUGUUUCUGUAGUUUCCAAAUGUUUGCAUGUAUGAAGUGCCUGGGACUCUAGUCCCUCUUUAUGCUAGUGUGCUCUAACAACGUGAUAUGGUUAUUAAUGAUGUUGUGUGAAGGCAAUUGAGUACCUCCUGAAACUCUUUCUUUUCUUUUUCAUUCUUUAAUUUAAUUCCUAUGUCAAUUACUUAGAUAGACUGAAGAGUUCAGGUUGGUCAACUACUUAAUCAAAUUCAAUUUAAAUCUAGUGGAAGAAUUUGAUCGAAUAGGACAUAGGGAAUCCUUCUCUCCACAGGGUUAGAAAAUGGAGGUUGGAGAUAGCGAACUACCCAGUUGAGGCUGCAGCCAAGUUUCGCCUUUUGAACCCAGUGAUUUGGAGAUGAUUCUUUAAAGUUGUUUAUGAAGUAGCCGAAAACUGGAUUAUUUGGCUUAAAUGUCUCAUUUUAGAUACGCUAGAAAGAUGUUGUCUAGAAGUUUGCGAAAAUGAAUACCAGCAAUGAAGUGUAAUUUGGUGAAGAAUAAAGUAGAGGAAAAAAGUUCAUGAAUGACUGAAAAUGGUGCCAAAAGUAUGCUAUGUGUAUGAUUUGUUCAUAUCAAAUGACACAAGUUCUGUGGUCAGUCAGUCCCCUUGAGGCAUAAAAACGUGAAAAGCAAAACCAUUUUCAGGGAAACUUAUCCAAGAUCGAAGUGGGGGAAAGAGCAAUACCUCUGUUAAUAAAACCCUUCUGUAAAAUUCAGAGGCGGUUUGCCCAAUUCUUGAACUGGGAGCUUUUAGAGUCCUUCAAUCGGUUCAGCAAUGGAGAGCCCUUGCAGGAAAGUUAAAGUAACAGUAAGCCAAAGGUGAGAGAGUUGCUGACAUGAUUGUUUGAGAUAAUAAAAGUGAAUCAAUGAGAAUGAUGAAGGCAAGCACGUGCAUAUUGAAAGACGCUUUAAAGUUUGGAACUGAGAAUGACUUUGGGAGGUUUUAACAGGAGUGAAAUUGAGCACCAAAUCAUUCAGAAGACUUGGAUUAGCAAAUGCUUUAUCAACAGAUUUAAGUGGCAAAUGCUUAAAUUUUUUCUUCAGACUCCUAGCUGCAGAAUAAUGAGGCAGACCAGUUAAAGAUAAAUGCCUCAGAUUAUUUUCUUGGCUCAGCUUUUUCUGGAAAGAAAAAAGGUGUUUGGGCAGAAAAUAACAGAGGCACAAAACUAGCACUUCAAUAUCUCCAAGGGAUGGCUAAAUGGGAACUGUGCCAUCCUUUUUCCUUUUUAUUGGGGUUUUGCUGUUUAUGCUUUCAAAUUAUCUGUCUACAGUUCUAUACUAGUUGAAUUCGUUUCUUUAUUGGUUUGAACAUUCAAACUUUCAAUUCUGUUAUCGUUUUCUAUACUACUAUGAAUUCCUUUAUCAGUUUGAUUGAACGUUCGAACUUUUAGAAACACCCAUCCUCUAUAAUCUAAUCUUAAAGCAAAUUGAGGCAUUUGUCAGUAAGAUUUGUCAUGCAUGACACAUUAUCCCUGUUCCUAAUCACAUUGUUUAUGUUUCUCCAUUCAUGUCGACCACAAUCUGAUCAAGAACUUCAUUCUAACUAAUCCUCAAUUUAUUUCCCUGAUUCUUGUAACACAAAAUGGGAAAAAAAUUUCAAAAUAGGAAAAUGUCAGCCAUUGAAAGCAUACAAUGACUCAACAAGGUAACUGCAGCAUUAUAACAAACAUGAUAUGGAUCCAAUGCCCAACUAUCAGUAACAAGCUUGUAAACAAAACCCGAAAAAGGCCAAUCAAAUGCAAGGUUAAGAAUCAUUCAAACCUUCAAUCAUCAUCACCAAUAAGUGCAUUACUGAUUCUGCAACCAAAGAAAUAUUCAAAAAAAAAAGAAAAAGAUUUGUGGCAAGAAAAUGUUGUCCCCUCAAGCAUGCCCUCCAAUAUGAAAUCCACCUACAUAUAUAUAUAUAUACAGAGUAUACACAAAUUGAAAGCCUGUAACUUCAUGCUAAAGCCCCAACAAUUAUUCAAGUAAGGAAUAAAAUUCCUCAAUAUUUCUCUUUUUCUUUUGCCCACACUUUUCUCUUUGUUGGAACAAUCAACCUUCACCAUGAUCAUCAUCAUGAAGCGUCUUGCUCAAUUUGUAUAGCAUCGAUCAUAUAUAUGAAUUGUUAUAUCUCUGAGAGGAAAAAAGAAAAAAAAAGAAGCAAGAAUUUGGUGCAUAAAUAUAACUUCAAUUCUAAGGCAACAACUUAGAAAACUUUAUCAUUUCUUCUAAUGAAAGAUUCAAACAACAAAUCUUCAAAGCAUUCCUGCACUUUGAGCUUAACUUUAGACAAACCUUCUAUUUAGUAUUGAAAACCCUGAGAUAAC
rnacentral:lncRNA from 1 species